GAUCCUGGCUCAGGAUGAACGCUAGCGGCAGGCUUAAUACAUGCAAGUCAAGGGGGUAGCAAUACAACCGGCGCACGGGUGAGUAACGCGUACACAACAUACCAUAUACUGGGGUAUAGCUUCGGGAAACUGGAGAUAAUCCCCCAUAACAUUGCGAGAGGGCAUCUGAUUGCAAUUAAAGUUUCGACGGUAUAUGAUUGGUGUGCGUUUGAUUAGCUUGUUGGUAGGGUAACGGCCUACCAAGGCGACGAUCAAUAGCUGGCGUGAGAGCGCGACCAGCCACACUGGAACUGAGACACGGUCCAGACUCCUACGGGAGGCAGCAGUAGGGAAUAUUGGACAAUGGGCGAAAGCCUGAUCCAGCCAUGCCGCGUGAUAGAUGAAGGCCCUCUGGGUUGUAAAUAUCUUUUAUCUGGGAAGAAACUCCUCUAUUCUUAGAGGCCUGACGGUACCAGAGGAAUAAGCACCGGCUAACUCCGUG
rnacentral:rRNA from 1 species